rnacentral:rRNA from 1 species
AUUGAACGCUGGCGGCAUGCUUUACACAUGCAAGUCGAACGGUAACGGGUUAAGCUGACGAGUGGCGAACGGGUGAGUAAUAUAUCGGAACGUGCCCAGUCGUGGGGGAUAACGUAGCGAAAGCUACGCUAAUACCGCAUACGAUCUAUGGAUGAAAGCGGGGGAUCGCAAGACCUCGCGCGAUUGGAGCGGCCGAUAUCAGAUUAGGUAGUUGAUGAGGUAAAGGCUCACCAAGCCGACGAUCUGUAGCUGGUCUGAGAGGACGACCAGCCACACUGGGACUGAGACACGGCCCAGACUCCUACGGGAGGCAGCAGUGGGGAAUUUUGGACAAUGGGCGCAAGCCUGAUCCAGCAAUGCCGCGUGCAGGAUGAAGGCCUUCGGGUUGUAAACUGCUUUUGUACGGAACGAAACGGCUCUCACUAAUACUGGGGGCUAAUGACGGUACCGUAAGAAUAAGCACCGGCUAACUACGUGCCAGCCGCCGCGGUAA